GAUGAACGCUGGCGGCGUGCCUAAUACAUGCAAGUCGAGCGAACGGACGAGAAGCUUGCUUCUCUGAUGUUAGCGGCGGACGGGUGAGUAACACGUGGAUAACCUACCUAUAAGACUGGGAUAACUUCGGGAAACCGGAGCUAAUACCGGAUGAUAUUUUGAACCGCAUGGUUCAAAAGUGAAAGACGGUCUUGCUGUCACUUAUAGAUGGAUCCGCGCUGCAUUAGCUAGUUGGUAAGGUAACGGCUUACCAAGGCAACGAUGCAUAGCCGACCUGAGAGGUGAUUCGCCACACUGGAACUGAGACGCGGUCCAGACUCCUACGGGAGGCAGCAGUAGGGAAUCUUCCGCAAUGGGCGAAAGCCUGACGGAGCAACGCCGCGUGAGUGAUGAAGGUCUUCGGAUCGUAAAACUCUGUUAUUAGGGAAGAACAUAUGUGUAAGUAACUGUGCACAUCUUGACGGUACCUAAUCAGAAAGCCACGGCUAACUACGUG
rnacentral:rRNA from 1 species